AUCCCUAACUGGCAGACAAAUGCAAUAGACUUAGAUUCUACUCAUCAAAAC
rnacentral:tRNA from 1 species